rnacentral:snoRNA from 1 species
UUUGUGUGGUGAGUGGGUUUCCACGCCAUAUGUGACAUGUGCCUCCCUCAAACCUC